UAAGCAUAUCAAUAAGCGCAGGAAAAGAAACCAACAGGGAUUGCCUCAGUAACGGCGAGUGAAGCGGCAACAGCUCAAAUUUGAAAUCUGGCCUCUCGGGGUCCGAGUUGUAAUUUGUAGAGGAUGUUUCGGGUACCGCCUCGGUUUAAAUUUCUUGGAACAGAAUGUCAAAGAGGGUGAGAAUCCCGUCUUGGACCGGCGGUAGGGCCUAUGUGAAACUCCUUCGACGAGUCGAGUUGUUUGGGAAUGCAGCUCAAAAUGGGUGGUAAAUUUCAUCUAAAGCUAAAUAUUGGCCAGAGACCGAUAGCGCACAAGUAGAGUGAUCGAAAGAUGAAAAGCACUUUGAAAAGAGAGUUAAACAGUAUGUGAAAUUGUUGAAAGGGAAGCGCUUGCAACCAGACUUGAGCGCGGCGGUUCCCCCUUGCUUCUGCUUGGGUUACUCCGCCGUGUCCAGGCCAACAUCGGUUCUGGGGGUCGGUCAAAGGCCUUGGGAAUGUAUCUACCUACGGGUAGACCUAUAGACCAGGGUGUCAUGCGACCUCCCGGGACCGAGGAACGCGCUUCGGCUCGGAUGUUGGCGUAAUGGUUGUCAGCGACCCGUCUUGAAACACGGACCAAGGAGUCUAACAUCUAUGCGAGUGUUUGGGUGUCAAACCCGGAACGCGAAAUGAAAGUGAACGGAGGUAGGAAGCUUCGGCUGCACUAUCGACCGAUCCUGAAGUUUACGGAUGGAUUUGAGUAAGAGCAUAGCUGUUGGGACCCGAAAGAUGGUGAACUAUGCCUGAAUAGGGUGAAGCCAGAGGAAACUCUGGUGGAGGCUCGCAGCGGUUCUGACGUGCAAAUCGAUCGUCAAAUUUGGGUAUAGGGGCGAAAGACUAAUCGAACCAUCUGGUAGCUGGUUCCUGCCGAA
rnacentral:rRNA from 1 species